CCUGAUCGAGCGACGCCGCGUGCAGGAUGAAAUCCUUCGGGAUGUAAACUGCUUUUUUGAGGGAGGAAUCCCGCCUUUGGCGGGAUGACUGUACCUCAAGAAUAAGCACUUGCUAACCUCGUGCCAGCAGCCGCGGUAAUACGAGGGGUGCGAGCGUUAUCCGGAUUUACUGGGCGUAAAGGGUGUGUAGGGGGUUUUGUUAGUCCUCCGUUAAAUAUUCCCGCUUAACGGGAAAGAUGCGGGGGAAACGGCAAAACUUGAGGGUGCGAGAGGCAAGCAGAACUCACGGUGUAGGGGUGAAAUCCGUUGAUAUCGUGGGGAAUACCAAAGGCGAAGGCAGCUUGCUGGAGCAUUUCUGACCCUGAAACACGAAAGCGUGGGGAUCAAAAAGGAUUAGAUACCCUUGUAGUCCACGCCCUAAACGAUGAUGACUAGCUAUCCGAAGUAUCGACCCUUUGGGUGGCGAAGCUAACGCGUUAAGUCAUCCGCCUGGGAAGUACGAUCGCAAGAUUAAAACUCAAAGGAAUAGACGGGGACUCGCACAAGCGGUGGAGCAUGUGGUUCAAUUCGAUGGUAAACGAAAAACCUCACCAGGGCUUGAAAUGCCAAUGAUCGUCCUGAGAAAUCGGGACUCUCU
rnacentral:rRNA from 1 species